AAGCUUGCUUUUAAUUAUCUUAGCGGCGGACGGGUGAGUAACAUGUGGGCACCUGCCUCAUACAGAGGGAUAAUCAUGUGAAAACGUGACUAAUACCGCAUGUCAGGGCAUCCUAAAAAGCGAUCCGGUAUGAGAUGGGCCCGCAUCUGAUUAGCUAGUUGGUGAGAUAACAGCCCACCAAGGCGACGAUCAGUAGCCGACCUGAGAGGGUGAUCGGCCACAUUGGGACUGAGACACGGCCCAAACUCCUACGGGAGGCAGCAGUGGGGAAUAUUGCACAAUGGGGGAAACCCUGAUGCAGCAACGCCGCGUGAAGGAAGACGGUUUUCGGAUUGUAAACUUCUAUCAAUAGGGACGAAGAAAGUGACUGUACCUAAAUAAGAAGCCCCGGCUAACUACGUGCCAGCAGCCGCGGUAAUACGUAGGGGGCAAGCGUUAUCCGGAAUUACUGGGUGUAAAGGGUGAGUAGGCGGCAUGGCAAGUAAGAUGUGAAAGCCCGAGGCUUAACCUCGGGAUUGCAUUUUAAACUGCUAAGCUAGAGUACAGGAGAGGAAAGCGG
rnacentral:rRNA from 1 species